CAUAAAUCACUUUUGUUUUUUUGUGUGCUAGAUAUGUAAUGCUCUGUUAAACUUCUACUGAUGUUCAAAUCAAUGCAUAUAUAGAUUUCUUGUCUCUCUGUAAUGGGUUUUUUUGUAAUUCUUGUCACUGUCCGACUUAUGUAAUAAUGUUUUCCUUUUUCCUUACCGGCAUUUGGGUCUGUGGUUCGUGCUGAAGAAAUUUACAAAAGACACAUUGCCUGGUUCAGAUGUUGAUUUUGCUCUAUGAUUUGCACACCUACAUAUAAUUGAAGUGCUAAUAAGAAAAGUAAUCAAAAUUUGAAUUGACGUUUGCAAAAGUUUUAUUUUUUUUCCUGUUUGGUAGUCAAAGGAUGAGAAGUUAUUUAAUGGGUAACUAUUCAAUAUUUAUACUAUUCUCGUGUGAGAGGCUAAUAUUAUCCCAAAACAUUAUAAUUUUUCAAUGAGAUUGUGUUGUAAUUUAGUAUGUACCAACACUAGCAACCCCACAGUAAGCGUCCAAAAUGUGAACUACCCUGCAGAACGUAGAUCAACUGUCUCACUGGUAGUCGUACUUCUUAACCUGAAUUUACAACAAAAUUAAGUGAAGUUUAAAUUAUGUUACUAAAAACAAAAAAAACCAUUGAUCCUGACACAAAAUUCAAAGUAAUAAAUACAAACACAUGUCAUGACUCAUGAGUCUUGUAAUUCAGUAAAGUUUAAAUGUUUACAAUAUAUGUUUUUUUGUCUUAAUAGGCCUUGUUAAAAGGUGAACUAUUGCGUAUUGCUUUUGUUUGUUGUAUCAACUAAAGAUUCACUAUCACUGGCAAUGAGACAUUGAGUCUUAUACAUAGAUAUUAUAUAUUGUAAUAUAGGACAUAGAUUCUGAAUGUACACCCCUUUAUGCUAUUUCCAAUUCCCAUAGUAAAUAAUAUGCUUAAGGACUUAUGUAGUGUUAAGAUCUAGAUAUCAUUAAAAUUGCCUAUAAGCUUGGAUGUUUGAUUUCUGCCCAAAGAACAGGUUUUACUUUACUAAUUUUUGCUUGAAAGUUGAGAAUCAACAAAGUUGGUGAUCUGAGAUAGGUCUUGUAUUAGCCAAUGGCUGUUGGGUUUAAUGUCACUUCCACCUCCUACAAGAAUGGGAUGGUGGGUGAGAUCGCAGGUUCAAAUGCUGAUGGGUUUGUUGUUUAAUUGCUUAGCAAAAACUUAUUAGAAAAUUGUCCUAUAUAAUGCUGCUGCUGCUUUUGCUGUUGGUGUUUUGUGUGUGUGUAUUCAUUUUCCUUGGAUCAAAUUCCAUCUGCUCCCUACCUAAUUAAGGGGUGGUGGAUAGCUUAUGGGUUGAAUCCCAUGCAGGUCUAUGAGUUCUAGUUACCCAUAGAAAGGAAGUGAUCCAAACGCUAACAAGAUGCUGAAUGACUAAAAAAAAAAAAAAAGUUAAUGGUGUGUUGUUAUCUUUAUUUCUAUUUAGCCUUAGAUAUCAUAGAUUUUUGCUAAAAUUUUUGUUUUGUGUCAGUUGAUUAAAUCUUGCAUUCCAAAUGCACUAAAUGAUGUUCAUACUCAUGCAGAUCAAAGAGUUGAAUUCAUUUGUUGCUCUUAAAAAGCAGUAAGUUAACAUCAGUCAGAAUUUACCGAUAUUUUCUAUUCUUAAAGCAACAGAGAUAAUUUUAUUCACCCGAAAUGCAUCUGACUUACCAUAAACUCUAUUUUUGGCAUUUUUUUUUCUUACUAUUAGUUUUUUAAUGCUUUAUGUUGCCCCCUUUGUCCUGAACUAUUUUUUGUGUGUCCCAAAUUGAGUGCCAAAUCGGAGAAAACUAUGCAUUAAAAUGAUCAGUUUUCCGUUUUACCUUCUGUCAAACAAAUCUAAAUGCAUAAGAGAAGUCAAUUCAAAUUGGUGAGGUACAUUUUUUGUUACAUGGUUUUACAACAAAGGUAAUUUUUAAAUCCAGUAUAUACAUUUAUAUAUAUAUCAUGUGUCAAUGCAUUAAGUGUUUUAAAUUAACUCUGUUUUCUCAAAUGUGAAACAUAAUUUGGGACAUUGGUUUUAUAGUCAUAAAUCAUAAUGGAAUCUAUACACAUUGCUGGCCUCUCCACAGUUCAUUAGCUGACAAAAGCCUCAAAGUUACAGAUAGAUGAUGCAACGUGCCAAUCAUUGGCGGAAAACACAUUAUUUUUGCUGUUUCAAGAUGACAGAAGUAGCAGCAUGGUUAGGCCUUGUGCAAUGAAGAUGUAAUGAUUGCACUGUGAGUGCACAAUAGCUACCUGGAGCAUGGAGGUGGAGACAGUAGAGUUCCGUUUGUUAAACAAGCUAGGCAUUAAAGAGACAUAGAAUGUGAGGAAUCCAGCCAAGGAGAUUUUUUUUUCCUCUUCUUUUACCUACUGUUCAAGACGCCAUCAAUGUUGGAACAGAAACUGCAGCUGCACUCAAGGAUGAGACUGAACAAAUGAGUCGGGCUGUCAAGUGUUAAUGAGCAGGACUAUCCAUUUCUCGAUCAAGAAAGCUUCUCAACUUGUGAAGGAACUUGGUAGGCAGGUUGCAACUGAUCGGUGUAUUAUCGCAUUACUCUUCCUUAUUAUUGCCAUUGGAGUCAUGGCCAUCAUUAUUGUAAAGGUUAUACUUACAGAGAGAGGUGAAGGAGAAGAAGGGGGGGGGGGGGGG